GGUUGUGUGGUGUAGUGGUAGCACUGCGGAUUCUGAUUCCGCCAACCUGGGUUCGAUCCCCAGCACGACCU